rnacentral:tRNA from 1 species
CACUGUAUAGCUAUCCUAGCAUUAACCUUUUAAGUUAAAGAUGGGGGCACACCCCUGCAGUGA